rnacentral:lncRNA from 1 species
AGGUAGAUAUGAAAAAUGAAGAGUGGGAGUUACUCGACCGUAAAGCCUUAGGUACAAUAAGGCUAACUCUUGCUGCAUUUGUUGCUUUCAAUAUUAGAAAUGAAAAGACAACCGAAAGUUUGAUGGCAGCUUUUUCACAAAUGUAUGAAAAGCCCUCUACAACAAAUAAAGUCCAUCUUAUCAAGAAGCUGUUCAACUUAAAGAUGUCUGAGGGAGGAGUUGCAAUAGAGCAUAUCAACGAUUUUGAUGCACUUAUAAGUCAAUUGGAAUCGGUUGAUAUCUCAUUUGAUGAUGAGGUCAAAGCACUGGUACUGUUAUCAAGUCUU